rnacentral:rRNA from 1 species
UGCGUAGGCGGACUAAUAAGUCAGUGAUGAAAUCUUUCGGCUCAACCGAGAAACUGCCAUUGAUACUGUUAGUCUUGAGUUCGGUUGAGGUAGGCGGAAUGUGUAAUGUAGCGGUGAAAUGCUUAGAUAUUACACAGAACACCAAUUGCGUAGGCAGCUUACUAGACCGACACUGACGCUGAGGCACGAAAGCGUGGGGAGCGAACAGGAUUAGAUACCCUGGUAGUCC